UACGUAGGGGGCAAGCGUUGUCCGGAGUUACUGGGCGUAAAGCGCACGCAGGCGGUCUCUUAAGUUUGGAGUGACAGUUGGUGGCUUAACUGCCAAAGUGCUUCGAAAACUGAGAGACUUGAGGGCUUCAGAGGGACACGGAAUUCCGGGUGGAGUGGUGAAAUGCGCAGAGAUCCGGAGGAACACCAAAGGCGAAGGCAGUGUCCUGGGGAGUACCUGACGCUCAGGUGCGAAAGCCAGGGGAGCGAACGGG
rnacentral:rRNA from 1 species